rnacentral:tRNA from 1 species
GCCUUCGUGAUGUAACGGUUAGCACGCUCGACAUGUAUUCCAGAGGUCUAGGUUCAAGUCCCAGAGAGGGCA